GGCCAGGUGGCAGAGUGGUCAUGCAGCGGCCUGCAAAGCCGUCUACGCCGGUUCGAUCCCGACCCUGGCCUCCA
rnacentral:tRNA from 1 species